rnacentral:tRNA from 1 species
GGGCCUUUAGCUCAGUUGGUUAGAGCGACCGGCUCAUAACCGGUUGGUCCUAGGUUCGAGUCCUAGAAGGCCCACCA